CCAAGCAUGACCGACACCGGUCCAGUCCGCCGUGCGAAAGAAAACCUGACCCUGUAAUCGCUAGGGAAAAGGAGCGAGAAAAAGAAGUUCAGGAACGACUACAUAACCGGGUGACCACUUCUAAUCAUAGAGAAAUGGGACUCUACGGGGAGAGUCAGUCGGAGUGGAGCUCGUCGUGCUCGGAGGGCGAGGGCGAGGGCGAGGGCGCGCACCC